AGGGUUUAUCAGUUCUCCCGUAAAAUCCUCUAUUGCUUUGGAAGCCAUCGAUCGUCGCAGUCUCUUGUUCAAAUUCUUGUCCCGAUGGCCGCUUCCGCCGUCGCCAGAUCGAUGCUUCGGGCCGCUUCGUCUCGAGGAGUCGCUGCUGCUUCCACAGGCCGUUUCGCAUCUCAAGCGAAAUCAGUUCCGCCCAUGUUUAGAGCCACCGCUAGAAGAAGCUCUCUGCUUUCACCUCUUCGAAAUCCUGUGGAGAUGAGCUUCUGUGUUGAGUCUAUGUUGCCAUACCACACUGCCACAGCUUCUGCGCUAAUGACUUCAAUGCUUUCUAUCUCUGGACAUACCUAUGGCUGGCUCUCUGACGCUUGCAUUGAUGAUGUGUGAUGAGUUAGCCAGAAGAUCACUGAAGCAACAGUUUACGUACAAAACUCUACCUUUUCCCCAAAAAAACACUUAGGAACUUGCAAAGAGGACUUUUGAUGAAGUCUACAAGUAGUACCCAAAUGCGAAUCUGAGAGAAGGUUUUAAGAGAGUUUUGACAAAUGAUAACUGUUGUACUUUUCAGACAGAAAUUAUCUCUCUGUCUUUGAGUUUUCCAUAUGAAAGACAGAUCCUCCAUCUUUUAAAUCAUCUAUGUUACAUCAACAUUUCAACACAGUUAAAAUUGCAUCUCUGUUAUUAAAGAAUCUCCUUGAACUUAAA